rnacentral:rRNA from 1 species
UUGCACGCUGGCGGCAGGCCUAACACCUGCAAGUCGAGCGGAUGAAGGGAGCUUGCUCCUGGAUUCAGCGGCGGACGGGUGAGUAAUGCCUAGGAAUCUGCCUGGUAGUGGGGGAUAACGUCCGGAAACGGGCGCUAAUACCGCAUACGUCCUGAGGGAGAAAGUGGGGGAUCUUCGGACCUCACGCUAUCAGAUGAGCCUAGGUCGGAUUAGCUAGUUGGUGGGGUAAAGGCCUACCAAGGCGACGAUCCGUAACUGGUCUGAGAGGAUGAUCAGUCACACUGGAACUGAGACACGGUCCAGACUCCUACGGGAGGCAGCAGUGGGGAAUAUUGGACAAUGGGCGAAAGCCUGAUCCAGCCAUGCCGCGUGUGUGAAGAAGGUCUUCGGAUUGUAAAGCACUUUAAGUUGGGAGGAAGGGCAGUAAGUUAAUACCUUGCUGUUUUGACGUUACCAACAGAAUAAGCACCGGCUAACUUCGU